GAGAAGCAGGUUAGAUCAUGAAUUAAUUAGGGCUGUAACAGAGUGCAGCUGAGCACUGCAACAAAUCCACUGCUGUGACUGUAGAGAUGAGGUACUGCUGUUCCCCUCCUCCAGCUUCUGCCUUCCACCAGACCCAGCAGAUGUCUGGCCACAGGGCUGGCGGGCCUUCUAGGAGUUCACCAUCCACUCAGUACCAGCCUACAUCUUCCAGUGCUUGCUUGAUGUGCUCUGGGGAGAUGUUUCUGGACUGAUAGUAACAGCCAUGUCUUCUGGGGUUGGCUGCCCCAAAGUGUACCCGUUCACUCCAGUUCUGGAUUUUGAUUGUAUAUUUAUUUUUGAGCCCCCCAACAGUGAUUUCAGUUACCCUACAGAACAGAUUGAUGCAUUCUGCAGCUGUCAGCAGGUUACUAGCUGCCCCUCUCUUUGGAGGCAAUAAAUCACUCCAUUGACUUGGUUUCUUCUGUGUGAUUUUGCCCUCAGUCUCAGGAGUUUUGUAACAC